UUUAAUAAAGUAGUGUUUAAUAGUAGAAAGAUGUAUUAAAUAGUCCCUAUACUACUAAAUUAUAAGUCGGAGACUAUUUAAAAAUGACAAAUUCUUUACAAUUUGGCAACACCCAUCAAUCGCCGGGUCGCCUGUUCAUUCUUUAUUCUCUCGUAGUAGAGCCAUAGUAGAGUAAAGCACGUGUCGUAAAACCUUGUUGUCACAGUUUCUCCAUGGCUAUUUUAUUGUUUUUAUUGGAUGUUUUGAUUUUGUAUUUUUUGGAUUCGAUUUUCUUAGUGUGUAGUGUCGGUUUAGUGUUUAUUUUGAUUACUUUUUAUUUAAAAACUAUAAAACAUGGUUCGUCAGUGCCAAAUUUGUAAGAAAUUGGACUAUUUAAGUCCUGGAACAACAUUCCACAGAUUAUGCUGCCAAAGUUUCCUGAAUACAAUUCCGACCACUCUGUAUAUCAAGAUAUCCCCCAUUACGUACUAGUUUUUCUUAAUAAUUUUCUAUACAUUUUCCAACGCCAAGAUGUACCAAGCGCAUACAAAUACAUCAAGCUUCAAACAAGCUUGCACGUUGACAGUAAUACCUACAGUAAUAUUGUAUUAUAUUAAUGUAAUAUUUUUGAACCAAUGUUCAAUAUUACUGUAGUAAUACUGUUUAUACUCAUGCCUUUUAUAUUUGUUUGAAUUUGGUGCAUAUUUCCAUUGAAUAAAGUAUAGUCACCAUUACCAUUAUUAUACUUACUCUAUAAUAAAGACAGUAACGAGUUAAA